GGCAGCGUGGGUUUGUAAACUCCCUGCAGCAGCUCCCUGGAGGAAGAUGCUUCUGGACCCCAGAUCAGCUAUUUGGUUAGUCUUGGCAAUCUGGGUGCAGAGGCUGCAGGAAUGCAGGAGGCACUGCCAGGAGAGGAAGGAGCAGCCCCAGCAUGCUAAGCGUGGGCUUCUGAAUGCAUCGCAGAUUUCCUCAGGGCACAGCGAGGCAACACCCAAAGGACAUGAUAGGCAUGUCCUUCUGUGAACCUGUUUCCCAUAGAGUCACAAGACAGCAGCCCUGGCCUCACCGGCUGAGGAAAUGAAAGCUCUGCCUUAUCCAGGUGUUGCGAAGGUGGAUGGAAGAAAACAGUCAAGGCUUCAUCCUUGCAUCUCUGAAAUCCUGCAGGACAUCUCCCUGAAGCAUGCCCUAUCGUGGAGCCAGCAUCUCCAGACGCCACCCCUCCUUAUCUGCAUUCAGGGAAGAGAAUCCAAGCAACGGGAGGCAGGGCUCAGUUACACAGCUGUGUGGAGAUUCUCCCCCAGUCCUCGGGCUGUCUUCCUUGAAUUCACAAUUUAAAAAAAUUUCUUUCUUUUUUUUCAGGAAUGAGGAAGUUGCUAAGUGGAUUCUCACCAUUUGAUUUCUUAUUCUUUUCCCAAAUAAGCCAAAUACUUGGUGGAGGAGUUGAGCGAGGGCGAUGAGCAAGGGUGUUGAGGCAGGAGGCUGGCCAGGUCAUGGGACACCUGCCAGAGAGAGCCACGGACAACGGGCAGGCUUCGCCUCUGGGGACAUCCAUCCUUUUCGCAGAGGAGCAAGGAUAGCGCAUGUGGGACAGAUGAAGUUGGCUGUGUGUCUCAAAGUGCCUCCAUCUCCCAGCCCACCUGCCUGCCUUAUAGCCCCUAUAGUCCCCUCUCUCCAGAGUCCCAGGCCCCUCUGUCCUGGGCAGGAGUGACACUAUCUGGUCUCCAGCCCUCCACACUGCACAAUGGACCCCAAGAAUGUGAAGCUGUUGCAGGUCACACAGUCCAAGUCCUAUGGGCUUCCCCCUCCUCCUCCACACUGGCUUGGCUUUGCUGGCCCUGGAAUCUGUGGAAAAAUAAACUUGAGAGGUGAAAAGUUGA